rnacentral:rRNA from 1 species
GAUGAACGCUGGCGGCGUGCCUAAUACAUGCAAGUCGAGCGAACAGACGAGGAGCUUGCUCCUCUGACGUUAGCGGCGGACGUGUGAGUAACACGUGUAUAACCUACCUAUAAUACUGGGAUAACUUCGGGAAACCGGAGCUAAUACCGGAUAAUAUCUUGAACCGCAUGGUUCAAUAGUGAAAGACGGUUUUGCUGUCACUUAUAGAUGGAUCCGCGCCGCAUUAGCUAGUUGGUAAGGUAACGGCUUACCAAGGCAACGAUGCGUAGCCGACCUGAGAGGGGGAUAGGCCACACUGGAAGUGAGACACGGUCAAGACGACUAAGGGAGGCAGCAGUAGGGAAUCUUCCGCAAUGGGCGAAAGCAUGACGGAGCAACGCCGCGUGAGUGAUGAAGGUCUUCGGAUCGUAAAACUCUGUUAUGAGGGAAGAACAAAUGUGUAAGUAACUAUGCACGGCUUGACGGUACCUAAUCAGAAAGCCACGGCUAACUACGUG